GUGACGUUGCAUAUGAUAAUUUAGUAAAAUGGCUGAUCUCAUGAUAUUAGGGGCAACGCUUAUAUCAUUGUCUUGUAUAUUUUCGUUCUUGGUCACUCAUGUCAUUUAUUUACUAUUAUCCCGGUUUCAGUACUUGAUAGUCUGAACCUUACGUGUAAUAUUCCAUUAGGCUACAUGCCUCAGGUACUGCAGACGGUGCAAGGUCCAAGUGACUUACCUAUGGAAACAUUUCACGUGGGAUUUGCGGCUUGACAUAUUAGGGAGUUGUCCAUAGAGCGGCGUAUGCAUGAUAAUUUUAUGAGAUCCAAAAGGUUGCCUUAUAGUUGACUGCAACCAGCUAUUUUACAGUAUACUAAUUAAAGUAAUACAGUUGUGAGAAGCCAGACUUCACCCGGUCGAUCUUUAUAACACAUUUAUGAAUACGUUAUCAAUACGUCAAUUACAACAUAAGUGCUAACAUAUCUUUAUUUAUAUCUGAGCAUAUUAGUAAACCUUAUAUAUUAUUAAUAGAACUUGCUACAACUUCUUGUUUCAUAAUUUUCUUUAUCUUAAAGUAGGAAUAUUUUGAUCUCCUGAUGUAUCCCACAAUGGCAUUUUAUAGGAAGAAGGUAGGGUUUAUUAUAGUAGUCUUGUAAAUAGUAUUCAAUAAUUUUGAUAGGAUUUUAAUAAUUUCCUAUUGGUUCAAUGCACUUAAAAUAGUGUUUCAUUUUAUUGACAUGGUUUAAUAUUCGUCUUUCUUUAAGAACGGAUAUGUUUUGUGCUUGUUGGAACAUAUUUCAGAUUUUAUUUUAUCAUGUAACAUGUCUCACACCUCAGAGAGCUUGGGUUGUUAUUUAUCAUGAUGUUGGUCUAUAUUUACCACUAAAUGAUCACGCCAUACCUAAUUUAAAUGAGAUUUUAGUUUGUCUUUAUCUGUGACAUAUUUUGUUAUGUUUGUGUACAGGUUAAAUUGGGCAGUCAGGUUUUUGUUCCGUCUUGUUUUCCUGACUUAGGUAUUUGGCCCUAGUAAUCAAGGCGGUAUAUCCGAAUGGGUCCUAAUCAGACUUCAUUGGAUAUAGAGCUCAUAAAUUAUUGAAUCAUAUUCAAUCAAUUUUAAUGCAAUAAAUCAAAUUUAUUAGCAGUUAAUACAUUGUUUAUUUUAUACUUCAUCCCUUUAGCCUAGACCCUUAUUUACUAAAUUUCAGUAUUACUUUCCAAAGGUUUCAAUAGAGUUGAGGAAAGUAACAGUAUUUCAGCUUACAAAGCUUUUGUAGUAGAGUUUAGUCAGGCUAAGACGUUACAAUAUGGUUUAAGCCGUAACCAGGAUAUUAACUUAUUAUUUAUUUUAUUUUCGUGCCUUUUAAGGCACAAUUUGAUGUUCGUGCAAUGGUCUGGGGUCGAAAGUGAGACAUGUUCUUUAUCUGUACUGUGUUCUAACAAGCAUUGUUUAUAUGUAAAACUGAACUUUUAGGCUGUUUCGUUUCGUAUACUUUCCUUCCAUCUUGAUAUAUUUUACUAGGUAUCGAUGUUUACAGAUGGUAUUACCGUGAUUUGUUUUAUAAUGCUUUGGUUUCUUUCAGUAUCAUGCACCAUACACUACAGUUUUCAAUUGACGUUUUACAAUUUAUCCGAUUUUUCAGUAGAGUUUUAUGAUAUAUUUUGAUUUAAAUUACAAUGAUUUAAUAAUGAUUAAUUUAAUUUAAAAAUUUGAUUUAUUCAAUUUUUAAUCUACACUAUUCGGUUUAGAUUUUAUGAGCUCUAUGAAAAUGUAUUUUGACAGUUUUAGUAUACCAACUUUAUUUUGGAAAUUUCUUCAUUUUAUUAUUUCCUUAACUUUCGUUGUAGUAGAAUCGUACAAUUUUAUUGUUUUGUUGAUAAAGGAACAAUAAUAUCAGUGUUGGAGCGAACGCUAUUGAUUUUCAUUUACUUGUACUGUGUGUGGUUAUAUAAUUUUAUAAUUUCCAGGAUACAUUAUUUUAUAUGGUACGUAUAAAUACAUAUGUUUAGUCUUUUACGUGUAAUAUUUUACAAUUGUGUACUAUUUAUAUAUCGACAUUUUUUUAUUUUAGUUUAGCCGCUAUGUGUGUCAGUCUCUCUCACAGUAGCUUAUAGAUGGUUGUAUUAAUUUGGACGCGGAUAUUUUAUUUUGAAAUUAUAUUUUAGCGAUGGCACUGCGAUAUAUCUUAAAAUCGGUCCUUUCAUUUUAUUGCAUUGGUGUUUAUUUUCAUGUUAGUGAUCUUAUUUUCAGUGUUCGCCGACAAAGUAGGCUAUUGAGUUGAUAGUGACAUUACCUUUGGUUCUAAAUUGCGGGUUUUUUGUGUUUUUUUAGUUAAAUUAUACCGGACGGUUGUUUUAUAGGUGCUAUAUAGUAAUUUUGUCAGUCAUGUUAUGUUGAUGUGAUAUCUUGUUACCUUAAAUAUAAUAAAACGUGACAGACAUGUUAUUUAUGUUUAUCGGUAUAUUAUUAAUAUUAUUAUAGCCUUUAGUUAGUUAGUUAGUGCUUCUGGGCAUUUUCCGCAAAUCGACAACCAUUGUGCCUAUUUUGCGUGAAACGAGGUAGCGCUACUCUAACCACCCUAGCUCCUCCACGAAGCCUAGCAAAGUUUCCAGGUUGCUAAUUGCCUCUCCUAGUGUGCAUGGAGUCCCUAGGUAUUUGUUCCUGUAUACUUCUACCUGUUUGCAGUCUAGGAGAAUAUGGUUUGUUGUUUCUUCUUCUUCCAUGCACGCUUUGCACAUGGGGCUGUCUGUUUUACCCAUAUUGCGUAGGUGUUUGUUAAGUGUGUUAUGUCCUGUAAUUAAUCCUACUAUUUUACGUAGUUGGUGUCUAGGUGUUUUCAGUAGUAUUUUGGUAAGUUUGUGGUUCAGUUCCGGUAAAACAUCCUUGGUCUGCCUGCAUGUGUCCAUUUCAUUCCAGUAUUUAGUGUGCAGUUGUCUGUGAUGUAGGUCUAGCUGGUUGUGUAUAUAGGAUAUUGGUAGGGGUCCAUAUGCCGGCGUUUCUGAACCUUUCCUGGCCAGUUCGUCCGCUGCAUUGUUUCCUCCUGAUCCACUAUGUCCCUUUAUCCAUUGAAUUGUUACUUUGUUGCCUUCUUUGCUCACUUCCGUGAGGCUUCGAUGCUCAUUCGAGUAAGAGCUCUGAAUUAAGUUUGUCGCUGCAUAGCGCUUGUAGUACUGAUUUACUGUUUUUUUUAUACUACGUCGGUGGCAAACAAGCAUACGGCCCGCCUGAUAGUAAGCAGUUUCCGUAGCCUAUGUACGCCUGCAACUCCAGAGGAGUUACAUGGGCGUUGCCGACUCUAAACCCCCCUUUCACUCGUUGAGCUCUGGCAACCUUACUCACCGGCAGGAACACAACACUAUAAGUAGGGUCUAGUGUUAUUUGGCUGCGGGUUUCUGUAAGGUGGAGGUACUUCCCCAGUUGGGCUGACAGUAUUAGUAUUAGUAUAUUUUCGUGUUUCACUUGUCGUCUUGUUAUAGCAUUGCAAGCUUCUAUUAUUCCCACACAUUCAGCUUGGAAUACCGUGUUAUGUUCUCCCAGGGGUUUUGAGAUGUGUAUGUUCAGGUCCUCCGAGAAGACACCACAUCCUGUACCUUCAAAUGUUUUUGAGCCAUCUGUGAAUUUUCUUAGGUUUGUUUGGUCCAGUCCUUUUUUAGGAUCUUCUGUUAAUGAUAUGGCGUAUUCUUUCCAGAAGAUCAUAGUUUUGGUGUUUUGUCGAUGGGCGCCUCCAGCAUGGGUAGUUUAGAGAUUAUAUUUUCAUAGAUCUUCUUGUACGAUGAGCAGAAGGAUGUCCAUAGGUUUAGCUUUUUCAACCGAAGAGCCGUGGCAGCCAUUUCUUUUUGUAUGUAUAGGUGUAAUGGUAGGAGUCCUAGCAUUAUUUCUAGCGCCGCAGUCGGAGUAGUUCUCAUACAGCCCGUCGCAACCACACAUGCUAGUCUUUGUGUUUUGUUUAGUUGUCUACUACCGUGGUUAGCUGGGUGCGGGGCCACCAUACGACCGCGCCGUAGCUGAUCAUUGACAUUGAAGAGCAAGUCCCCAUCUCUUGCCCACCAUCCUCCGGCAUUGCCAAAAGACGACUGUUGCUUUGUUUAGUUUAUUGUCCAGGUGUUUGUUCCAGUUCAGUCUAUCAUCCAGGAUUAUGCCUAGGUAUUUUAUAUCCUUUGAAAGUGUCAAUCAUCUGCCAAAAAGGGUUGGCAGUUCGUAAGUACCCAGUUUUGUUUGUGUGUGAAGAGAAUUGUGUCGGGUUUUUUUUUGGUUUACCGAUAGGUCAUUCUCCUUACACUAUUUCUCUUCUAUUUUCAGUGCUGUCUGUGUGAGAUCCCACAGUGUGUUUAUUACUAGGCCGCUGAUUAUAGUCUUUAUUGCUGGAAACUAAACUGCACACAAUUGUUUAUCAGUUUAUGAGGUUUUCAGGAUUUAGUGUCCAGCGUGUCUCGUGACAUAUAGGCCUCUUCCAGCUUCUUCAAUUUUCCUCUAUCGUUUGCUAUUUUGGGCCAUCCUGUUCCUCUAAUUUGUAUAGUUAUUUUUAGUUGUCAUAGGGAAAUGUGUGCUUUUGAUUAAUUCUUAAAGAAUCUUUUUUUUUCUAUUUCGAGGCUCAUUUGAUUUCUAAAGGAUAUUAAAUGCACAGGUACGCAUAACUUUCUGCAUAUUCGAUAUUCAUCAUUGACUUUUUCGGCUAUAUUUUCUUUGUUUGUCAUUACUUUCGGUUUCGAUUUGUCAUAGCCUCACCAGAUACUCUGCUUGCCUCUGUGUUUAUCGGUUUUACAACUUCUUGUAAAUACUUGCGAUGUCAGUUGUUAUUUUUUAUUAGUAUUAUUACUCCGGUAAACUCCGUAAAUAUACUAAGGGCGAUUGUAACAGACUGACAUCUACAUUUAUUUAUUUACUCUCUUAGAAAUUAUUGAAUUUGUUUGGAGUGAAUUUCGCGCAUAAUAUUCGCACUUGUAAUGUGACAGUGGCAUCCGGUGACAUCUGGCGGUGAAUGACUAAACUAGCAGGUAGUUUACUCAUGAUAAUAUUGCAUAGUACAAUAUUUGUUUAUAAUAUAUUUUUCAAUAUAAAUUCUUAAGUAAUGUUUAUUGAAUAAUCGAUUAAACACAAUAAACUACUUCGUAAGCUUUUAAUUUAUUUAUGUUAUCUUUAGAGAUGCCAUCUGUUGUAAGGCAGAUCAAUCUAAAUACGCGGGAAUAAAAGUGACCAAUCAUAGACGAGGAUAGUAAAUAUUAUCCAAUCAAAACUCUGCAUUCUGGUUGGGCUUAGGAGUAGGAUUAACAUGGCGGUUGAGGGGUUCUCAUGGGGGAACGAGGUUAUUUAAGGAACUGCAAAGUGGAUUCGUGAUCUUUUGCCUUCAGCAGAGCGUCGAGUCAAGAAGGAAUCCUGUGAGUGUUAGGUUGUAAGAAAGCCAUGUGUCUAAGCUUGUUUGCAGAUACGUCUAUUAGCGGCCAUCUUCAGGAGAUAUGAAAAAGAACAGCGACUGCAAUGGACGACGCGCGGGUCGUGUUGACUUGAACCAUGGUUGUGAAGAACUGCGUGAGCCUACCACGGGCAGCUGCCGAAAGGGCUACAUUUCACGAGCAUCGGGUCGUAAAGGUUCUUAAAUUGUCACUGUGAGUGGCAAAUCAUAAGAAAACCGUGUAUUAGAGCUUGUUCGCAGAUACGAGUAUAAGCUGCCACCUUCGUUGGAAGCUUAGCGUGUGGAUACGGCCAACAUGGGCGGGAAGCUGUAGGAGCUUCAUCCGGACCAUGGGCGUGUUGAAAAACACAAAACCAUCAUGGGUCAGCUGCCAAACAACUGUGUUACGAUGCGGUAAUUUCAUAUACCUACUUAAUUAUUUGCAUAUCAUUUUAUAUCUUGAGGAAACCUAAAAUACAUAUUUCGUUCAUUCAUAGGCUCCAAUGUUUGCUUAAUAUCAGUAGGAUUGUAGGCUUGGUUGAUACCAACGAGUUGCCCAUAAAUAAAAUCAUUAUUUCUAUAUAUGAAUAGCGGGUAGGUUGAAUAGAUCGCGUUGGGUACCCUUCAUUGUGGAACGAGAUGACGAUUCUUGUGCUCUGUGAAUGCAAGUCGGAUUCUUGUACGAGAGUGUUAUUUUAACUACGACGGCAAAAUGUAUUGAGAUAUUUAAUUUCAUUUGUUCAGUGAAUUUCUAAAUCAUGUAUAUGCUUUUUAAAUAUAAUCAAUUUUGAAGAUAGGUAAAUCAGUGUUCGUGUGUAAUAUGAUUAUAGGGUAGGUAGAUGCAUUCAAUUACGAUAAGUACUUGAUUUGAGUUGUGAAAUCAUUAGCAAAUAAAUGAAUGUGUGUUUAGUAGUAAACGAGCGCGUUUAUUAUUGUGGAUUAACCGUUUACGAAAAGAAGUGGAACGUAUGUAUUUUCCAUGUUUUAAUUCAAUGGCAAGGGUGGAAUGUGUCUCGAUUUAGAUAUAGAUGGCAUAAGUAGAUGUGUUCAAUUAGGUUGAUAAAUAACUUUAGUUGUGUUACACUCGGCGGUCAUUUCUUUAUCGUUUUAUGUAGGUUUAGCCGUCAAUAUCAGUCAUUAUUACCAUAUAUAGUAUAACACGUAAAGUCAACGAACGUUGUAGGUAGUUUAAUUCAUGAAAUGUUUUAACAUAUAUUUAAAAUUAUUUAUUUCUGAAUUCUCGGUUCAUGUACGAGGAAUAUCGAGUCCUGUCAGCGGAUCCUAAGGGCGCCUGCUUCGUGUCCCGCCAUCAAUUCCUGGGGUGUUCUGCCUUCGAGAGCUUCUACGCUUCAAAUCAAGAUGCAGACUUCGCAGAUGUGGGCGAAGGCGAAGAUUCACUCCGGUGCAAGCUAGUAGACACGGUGCGUUGGUUCUGAUUUAUAUGUUAUCUCAAUCUUGACCUGACAUAUCUAUAUAUCACAUACUUUCAUGUUUCAGUGUCAGUGAAUUACAGCACUUUGAUUGAAAAUGUAGGUUGAUAGGUUGAGUGUAUUAAUUAUGAUGUAAUACGCAGCUACAUAAUUCACCUUUUACAAUACUACAAAAAUAAUUGGUUGUGUAAUUAUUUGUGCGCGCGUAUAUAGGUAUACGGCCACGUUUGUUUAAUUAGUAACCAAGUUCAUAAACUAGAUUGAUAUAAUUGUUUGGUGAAUGAGUCUUACAAAAUACUUAUUUAUUUAGAAUGUUAUACAAAUGGCUAAUGACGUAAUAUUAUGUCGCAAUACAUUAUAGGUUUUAUUCAAUGACUUCUUACAGUAGCUUAAUUACCGUGGCUACUGUUAUAGGUAUUCUGUACGUCACUAAGUUUAGAUCCUUUGACUUCCACUAUUAUAGUUUGAUUAUCAUAAUUGAAAUGAUUCUUCCUUUGAAUGCCUAGUUGUCUUUAUUCAUAUAGAUACUUAGCUUCAUAUAUUCCGUAGGGCGUAAAUGUUUAACUCGAUUAGAAUAUUAAGCACUAUUUUUGUCUCAAUUUCCGGUUCACGGUGGUUGCGGAGCGAGUCUUGUUCCAUCAGCGGCUUUCGAGUGUCUCGGUGUCUCCGAGCAUCCUCGUCGGUACCUGAUCAACCCCACUGCCACGGGCGCCCAGAUGCAAGACCUAUCUUCUACAUGAAGAGGCUGGCUGCACUACGCCGCAUCUGUAUCUCACGCCUGCACAUUGUAUCCAGUGCGCCGUCCAUUUGCGUGGAAUGAGAAUUGAUCCUGCCUUGCCUUGUCUUCUCAUCAUGAUGUGAGAGCAUCGAAGCCCCAUCAAGCAGAUCUUAAUACCUAGCGGUGACGUAACCUUUCAAUAAAUUAUACAAAAGGUUUUAAUUUCAUAGUCUAGUCAUUAUAGGAGUAUACAAGCGGUUUAAAUAAUAUUCACGAUUCCUAACUGCUUACUUAUUUGUAGGUAGAUAACUGGUGCCUAUUUGAUACUUAUUUUAUGAUCAUGAUUCCGUUUUAUAGGUACAUACCUAAGUAUAUUACGUAUGUUGAAAUGUUAUUGUGGGUGUAUAUAUUUUGAUCAUUUGGUAUAUAGUUUGAUCUGUAUUUGCCAAUGUAUUA